UGGUGGAGCGAUUUGUCUGGUCAAUUCCGAUAACGAACGAGACUCUAGCCUACUAAAUAGUUCGGGGACCCCCACAAAGGGGCCCGCUUAAAAUUAUUGGAGGGACAGGUGGCGUUUGGCACUCGAGAUUGAGCAAUAACA
rnacentral:rRNA from 1 species